rnacentral:lncRNA from 1 species
AUGUUGUGACAUGGAUUCCCACCAGAGUUUCCUCUUUUGUUAAAAGAUCUCCUUAUUUUGGACAAUAUUUGAUUCUGAGUAAUAUUGAUGUAGCCAUCCCAUUUCUCUCCCCAACAGAGUUGUUGAGCUGUAUUUUCUCCUCUCCUAGAGUGUUUGAGCUUUACGCAAGAUCUUGGCUUAUCCCCUAGCAGUUAUUUCCUCCUCU